GUUCCGUAGGUGAACCUGCGGAAGGAUCAUUAUUGGAUUUUGAAACUUCAGGCUGCUGCUGGCUCUCCUCGGAGGGCAUGUGCACGCUUGUUGUCCAUUAUUUCUCCCACUGUGCACAAAUUGUAGACCUUUCAGUAGGCCUAUGUUGUUUUUCACAAUCUCUGAAUGUAAUAGAAUGGUUUUGAAUCUUGGGAAAAACAAUACAACUUUCAGCAACGGAUCUCUUGGCUCUC
rnacentral:misc_RNA from 1 species